GAUGAACGCUGGCGGCGUGCCUAAUACAUGCGAGUCGAGCGAACAGACGAGGAGCUUGCUCCUCUGACGUUAGCGGCGGACGGGUGAGUAACACGUGGAUAACCUACCUAUAAGACUGGGAUAACUUCGGGAAACCGGAGCUAAUACCGGAUAAUAUAUUGAACCGCAUGGUUCAAUAGUGAAAGACGGUUUUGCUGUCACUUAUAGAUGGAUCCGCGCCGCAUUAGCUAGUUGGUAAGGUAACGGCUUACCAAGGCAACGAUGCGUAGCCGACCUGAGAGGGUGAUCGGCCACACUGGAACUGAGACACGGUCCAGACUCCUACGGGAGGCAGCAGUAGGGAAUCUUCCGCAAUGGGCGAAAGCCUGACGGAGCGACGCCGCGUGAGUGAUGAAGGUCUUCGGAUCGUAAAACUCUGUUAUUAGGGAAGAACAAAUGUGUAAGUAACUAUGCACGUCUUGACGGUACCUAAUCAGAAAGCCACGGCUAACUACGUG
rnacentral:rRNA from 1 species